rnacentral:rRNA from 1 species
CCUACGGGAGGCAGCAGUAGGGAAUUUUGCGCAAUGGGCGAAAGCCUGACGCAGCAACGCCGCGUGAUCGAGACGCCCUUCGGGGUGUAAAGAUCUGUCAGUGGGGACGAAACUAGACGGUACCCACUGAGGAAGCACCGGCUAACUCCGUGCCAGCAGCGGCGGUAAUACGGGGGGUGCAAGCGUUGUCCGGAAUCAUUGGGCGUAAAGAGUUCGUAGGCGGCACGUAAAGGCUGGUGUUAACGGCAGAGGCUCAACUUCUGUACGGCAGUGGAUACUUGCGAGCUAGAGUGCGGUAGAGGUAAAGGGAAUUCCUGGUGUAGCGGUGAAAUGCUUAGAUAUCAGGAGGAACAUCGGUGGCGUAAGCGCUUUACUGGACCGUAAUUGACGCUGAGGAGCGAAAGCCAGGGUAGCAAAUGGGAUUAGAUACCCCUGUAGUC